UAGGGAAUCUUCCACAAUGGGCGAAAGCCUGAUGGAGCAACGCCGCGUGGGUGAAGAAGGUCUUCGGAUCGUAAAACCCUGUUGUUAGAGAAGAAAGUGCGUGAGAGUAACUGUUCACGUUUCGACGGUAUCUAACCAGAAAGCCACGGCUAACUACGUGCCAGCAGCCGCGGUAAUACGUAGGUGGCAAGCGUUAUCCGGAUUUAUUGGGCGUAAAGCGAGCGCAGGCGGUUGCUUAGGUCUGAUGUGAAAGCCUUCGGCUUAACCGAAGAAGUGCAUCGGAAACCGGGCGACUUGAGUGCAGAAGAGGACAGUGGAACUCCAUGUGUAGCGGUGAAAUGCGUAGAUAUAUGGAAGAACACCAGUGGCGAAAGCGGCUCUCUGGUCUGUAACUGACGCUGAGGUUCGAAAGCGUGGGUAGCAAACAGG
rnacentral:rRNA from 1 species